rnacentral:rRNA from 1 species
AUGAGUGUCUUCCGCCUGCCGGUGUCUGUGUGUGAUGAUUUAACAAGGAUGAUGAGACAGUAUUGGUGGGGAGUGGAGAAUGGCAAGAGAAAGAUGGCCUGGCUCAGCUGGUCGAAGAUGACCCUACCCAAGGAUAUGGGGGGGAUGGGGUUCAGAGACAUGCGGGCUUUCAACCAGGAGUUACUCGCCAAACAGGCUUGGAGGUUACUGCACAGCCCGGACAGUCUUUGCGCUCGCCUCCUAUGGGCGAAAUACUACCCGAACGGUAAUCUCUUGGACACGGUAUUCCCGUCUAGCUCUUCUGCAGUCUGGAAAGGAAUUACUCAUGGCCUGGAUCUGUUG